GACUAUGAGAUUCGCUCCCGGAGGAGGUC
rnacentral:piRNA from 1 species